UCGUACGAGAGUUUUUAACUCUAGUGGCGGACGGGUGAGUAACACGUGAGAAUUUGCCUUUAGGAGGGGGAUAACAAUCGGAAACGAAUGCUAAUACCCCAUAUGCUUUUGAGUGAAAUGGAUUUAUCCGCCUAAAGAGAAGCUCGCGGCUGAUUAGCUUGUUGGUGAGGUAAGAGCUUACCAAGGCGACGAUCAGUAUCUGGUUUGAGAGGACGAUCAGACACACUGGAACUGAGACACGGUCCAGACUCCUACGGGAGGCAGCAGUGGGGAAUUUUCCGCAAUGGGCGAAAGCCUGACGGAGCAAUACCGCGUGAGGGAAGACUGCCUAUGGGUUGUAAACCUCUUUUUUCAGGGAGGAACAAAAUGACGUGUACCUGAAGAAUAAGCAUCGGCUAACUCCGUGCCAGCAGCCGCGGUAAGACGGAGGAUGCAAGUGUUAUCCGGAAUCACUGGGCGUAAAGCGUCUGUAGGUGGUUUAAUAAGUCAACUGUUAAAUCUUGAGGCUCAACUUCAAAAUCGCAGUCGAAACUAUUAGACUAGAGUAUAGUAGAGGUAAAGGGAAUUUCCAGUGGAGCGGUGAAAUGCGUAGAUAUUGGAAAGAACACCGAUGGCGAAAGCACUUUACUGGGCUAUUACUAACACUCAGAGACGAAAGCUAGGGUAGCAAAUGGGAUUAGAUACCCCAGUAGUCCUAGCCGUNAACUAUGGAUACUAGAUGUUGA
rnacentral:rRNA from 1 species